CUGGUUGAGAAGGAAAUUAGAGUUUGUUGGCUGUGCUGUGGGGAAGGAGUCAGUACUGUGAGGAGCUGCCCAUGAGAAAUCGUGAAGAAGAAAUCUCCAGUGGACAAAGGAAGCCACAUGAGCCUUUCACCAGCUAAAGAGUGCCCUCAUGUCAGCUCCAGCUUUGAGACUUCCAGAUCUUCUUUUCUCAGUGGAAAUCAAGGAGAAGCAGUACACCAUGGUUGCCUGGAGACCCUUGAAACUACUUACUCCAGCCGCCCAGACUUGAAGAAUGCUCCUUUAGACAAUGCAGAUACUUAGUUCACUGACGGGAGCAGCUAUGUUGCCAGUGUCAAGCAACGUGCUGGGCACACAGUGACUACAUGCAGAGAGGUAAUAGAAUCCAGACCCUUACCAACAGACACCUCUGCGCAGAAGGCCGAGAUGAUUGCACUGACCCAUGCCUUGGAAAUGACAAAAGGAAAGAGAAUAAACAUCUAUACAGACUUGAGGUAUGCAUUCGGAUGCGUGCACAUGAAGCCAUCUACACAGAGAGGGGACUGCUGACCUCACAAGGAAAGAAGAGAUAAUCUGGCUGCUGGAAGCAGUUCAGCUGCCUGAAAAGGUAGCAACUAUGCAUAUUAAGGCACACCAGAGAGUGAGCUCAGAAUUAGAGGAAGGAAAUGAGCUGGUGGAUGGAGAGGCAAAGAAAGCAGCAAAAGGUGAGGUAAUUAUGGACAGAUUUCCCUUGAAGGUAAGCCAGAAUGUAAUAAGAAAGAUAGAAAACUAAUUGAAGAUCAUAAAGGGACAUAUAACCAAGAAGGGUGGGCUACCAUUGAAGGCAAGCUGGUAAUCUCUUCCCAUUUGUGUGGUCGCUAGUAAGGGGAGAGCACCAGAAAACACACUGGGGCCUAACUACUUAAAAGCUUUUAUAAAGUGUGGCUCCUUUCCCAGAAUGACCAAGGCUGCUGGUGUUAUAGAGUGCAUUGAAAUGGAGUGUUGACUUUUAAGUAGUAGUUUCCACAGGCUUUCUAGAAUACAUACCUGAUUGAAAGAAUCAUUGCUAGGAAUUUAUAUGCCACUGUUACUCAGGUAAACUGGCAGUGAGGUCCUUACCUCCAGACUAACCCCAAGAAUACCCCCAGACUGAAACUCAGUCAGAUUGGGUGGGGCCAUGGGCCACUGGACAGCAGUGGCAAAUUGACUUUCCAGAACUCCCAAGGAAAGGGGAUAUCGGUAUUAGUACUGAUAGAUACAUUUUUAGGAUGACCAGAAACGUUCCCCACCAGAACUGUCAAGGCUAGAGAGGUGACCAGGGUAUUGUUACAUGAAAUAAUACCACACUUUGGCGUUCCAGCCACAAUAUCCUUGGAUAGAGGAUCACAUUUCAUUUCCAAAAUAGUGCAACAGAUUGGUAGCCACCUGGGCAUAGAUUGGGAACUUCACACUCCAUACUGCCCCCAACUGAGCAACCAGGUGGAGAAAAUGAAUUAUUUGAUUAAGCAGCAGAUUGUAGUACUGCAGCAGGAAGUUAAUCUGCCCUGGUCCCAAGCUCUUCUACUGGCACUAUUGCAAAUUCUAUCUAAACCUCGGGCUAAAGAAAAGAUGAGUCCCUUUGAAAUGUUUCAUGGAAGACCAUAUGGAAUACAAAAGGGAAUGUCCACCCACAUUGGGGAGGUAACAUUGGCCACCGACAUGGUGGCUUUAAGGAAACAGCUCGGAGAAAUUGAGAAACACAUGGCUGGAACUCAGAGCAGGCAGCUAGAUGGACCAGUAUAUAACAUACAGCCUGAGGGUUAUGCAUAUGUUAAGUCUCUUACAGAAAAGACUUUGGUACCACAGUGGGAGGGACCAUUCCAGGUGCUUCUCACCACCUUCACCACAACCAAGAUCAAGGAGCAGAAUGCCUGGAUCCACCACUCUUGAGUGAAGAAGGCCCCAGAGUCCCCUUGGAGAGUAACACCAGGAAACAAUGAACUGAGACUAAAGCUUACUCAGGCAAAAUGAGUAUAUUGCAGCUGGGGGUAGUUUGUAAUUUUAUUUACAGAAUUGUUUUGUAUAUAAUUAUAACUGGAGUCUUACAAUUCGAGAGUACCUCUAUCCAAAGCAAUGCUGAAUGGCCUUGGUCCCAGGCUUUUAAUCAGUAUGCUGGAUCCAUGGGAGAACCUUCUGAGAUAAAAGAUUUAAACUUAUCCAGUGUGGCAAUCCAUGGGAAUCAGGUAUAUGAGGAGCAGGAGUGCAGAAACUGUGGACACUUCAAGGGAUCAGAGAAGAAGAAAUCAAGGUAAUGUGCCAAGUGGUCAAUGGGAUGGCUCAUGAGAGAUCAAAUGCAAUUAGUGUCUCAAGCUCUCCUGUAUACAAACACCAGGAAGAAUGUGGAUGAACAACAACUGUUGUUCAAUCCAGAAUGGUCUCUCAAACAUGUUGAAUUGUUAAUGCAAAUUAACAACUCAAAAAUCCAACCAGCCUGCUCCUCUUAGCUAAGAACAUCCUUUGAGAGCUGGACAAUGUAGUUACAAAGACAAGUACACUUCAGAAGCAGAAGAAGAAAAGAUCUAACUGGAAUAUUAAAGACAGGAUUAGGAGUUUUAAAUGGAAUUGAUUCAGAAAUACUGAUGAAUAAGCUGGCUGCUACAGCAGGUGGCCUAGUAAAAUUGAAGCAGCCUUUACAGUCAUAUCUAUUUGCAUUAGGAACUGGCCAGUGGCAGAUUUCAAAAGUACUGCCAAAGUGGGAAAAGACUGGGGGCCAACACCACAAGCUAAUACUAGAAGCGCUUAGUACAAUUCAAGAUAAUGUGUUUUUAGCUUUCAGUUGUAUACAAGCACAGUUAUGGAUGUCGGCAGCAGCAGCUUUGAUCAUAUGGGAAGGGGGUGAAGGCAAUUUUCCAGCUGAAAUUCAGAAGGUUGUCUGGGAUAAUGCAAUUCAUUUUGAAAGGAAGUUUCAAUCCUGGUGGACUAUGGUAAAUUUCACCUAUGAUCCUGCUUCUAAUGUGGCCACUGCCUUUGUGCUUACCAUACGUAAUGCCACUCUUUAUGUUAUCCACCCCAUUGUUGCACUAGGAUUAAAUCAUAAAAAAACGGUGCUCUACCCUUAAGAACAUAGGGUGUGGGCACGAAAGGUGAAUGAAAAGUGGCAAACAGUAAACUUAGAAUCUUGUAUUACUAGGGAACAACUAGGACUCAUUUUUGAAAACAACACUAUUAAUGUUCAAGAUGUGUGUCCAGACACUGAACAAAGUAUUUGCCUCUUUGAGGUUCAUCCAGUCACUGAUCAGAAAACUGUGCUUGUAUAUACUAGUAAAGGUUCUGUGUGCUUGAGAACUGUUUGUGCUAUUGUAAAAAUUCAUAACAACUAUGUUAUUUUGUCUAGUAGAAAUUAUUCUAACGUUUGUAUUUGUAGUUUUGUUAACCUCCUUAUUAAAUGUACAUGGUAAAGCAUUAAGAGACACUUAUUAUUGUAGGGAUUUGCAUUAAGUAAAAGAAUAUACUUAUGUUCUAGGGAAGGAGGGAAAUGAGACAGAGUGGAAAUUUUCCAGAAUAGAAAUCCAUUUUGAUUUAGGUGAAAUGUACAUCUUUGAGUUAAGCUUUGAAUAUCCUGCGAACAUAGCUGUUUAGGCUGACGGCCUGUUCUCACAAAAACCUAUGCUUGGAAAAACUGCUUCAGCAGAAGGAAAAGAGAUACGGGGGGAGGACGGGGGCAGACAGAAAGGAUUCUAUGGAGGGCAGGGCAUCAU